CUCACCCGCCGCCGCUCCCUAACCCUAGCCCCAAUCCACAGCCCCGCGCCCCUCGCUCCUCCCUCCCUCGUCCUCACCCGCCGCCGCUCCCUCCAACCACCUCCUCCUCCUUCCGAUGGGUCGCCGGAUCCGUCGGCCACCCCAUGGACUUCGCCUGGAAAACGCGGGCUGGGAGAGAGAGCGCGGGCGGGUGGUAGAGGAGGGUGGCGGGCGCCGACGUCGCAGUCGAGGGGGAGCAGGGCCAGUCGGCCGGAGCUGGAGGCCGGCGCUGGAGGAAGGAGCGGCGAGGAGAGAGGCGCCGGCCAUCGGGGACCUCCUAGCCCUCUUCUCCUUGUCGCCAUGGCAGGUGGAGCUCGAGCCAUCGGUCAGCCUCCCCCUCCCCAUGCGUAGAACAAUGUGUGCAGAUCUGUAAAAGAAGAGAAGAGGAAGAAUCCCAAGGAAGAGUUUGGUGAAGAAGAAUAAGGUGACUAUGUGAGUUGCAUUGACAGAAUCCAUGUAUUAAGCUGGGGCAUUUUUGGCAGCUGCAGCAACCUGACAAUUCAUUUGUUCUCAUACAAGGUAAUUUACUUCCCCCCUUUAUGUAUCAUGGAUGGAUAUAUGUGCUGGUUGGUUGUCAUUACUGAAGCAAGAAUUGUUGAUGAUGACUACCUUCGAGCAGGUUUUUAUUGGUUUUUCUUUCUC